rnacentral:rRNA from 1 species
UACGGGGGGGGCAAGCGUUGUUCGGAAUUACUGGGCGUAAAGGGCUCGUAGGUGGCCAACUAAGUCAGACGUGAAAUCCCUCGGCUCAACUGGGGAACUGCCUUUGAAACUGUCUGGCUUGAGGCCGGGAGGGGGUAGCGGAAUUCCCAGUGUAGCGGUGAAAUGCGUAGAUAUUGGGAGGAACACCAGUGGCGAAGGCGGCUACCUGGACCGGUUCUGACGCUGAUGCGCGAAAGCGUGGGUAGCAAACAGG